rnacentral:rRNA from 1 species
UACGUAGGGGGCCAGCGUUGUCCGGAAUCAUUGGGCGUAAAGCGCGUGUAGGCGGCCCGGUAAGUCCGCUGUGAAAGUCGGGGGCUCAACCCUCGGAUGCCGGUGGAUACUGUCGGGCUAGAGUACGGAAGAGGCGAGUGGAAUUCCUGGUGUAGCGGUGAAAUGCGCAGAUAUCAGGAGGAACACCAAUUGCGAAGGCAGCUCGCUGGGACGUUACUGACGCUGAGACGCGAAAGCGUGGGGAGCAAACAGG